UACGUAGGGUGCAAGCGUUGUCCGGAAUUAUUGGGCGUAAAGAGCUCGUAGGCGGUCUGUUGCGUCGGCUGUGAAAACCCGGGGCUCAACUCCGGGCCUGCAGCCGAUACGGGCAGACUAGAGUUCGGCAGGGGAGACUGGAAUUCCUGGUGUAGCGGUGAAAUGCGCAGAUAUCAGGAGGAACACCGGUGGCGAAGGCGGGUCUC
rnacentral:rRNA from 1 species